GUGUAGAAAAAAGGUGAAUAGAUACAUACAUUACUAUAGCAGACAAUCCAAACACAACAAUAGGAGUAGUAAACAUGAUGAGCUCAACUCCACAAUAUUCCUCAACAACUCAAGGACCUCCAGAUUUGAUAACAAAAAACCCACAAAUUGAAGCCACAUAUCAUUAACUUUCUUGUACAAAUUUCAACUCUCAUCAUCACCAUUCAUUUUUGUACUAUUGUACCAUAAUGUAAUCAAGUCUUUUUCUGACGUAUAAGAAGACCUGAAAAAACAAAACCAAGAAAGAAAAAAAAAAGAAUGAAUGUGGAAGUAGAAGUGAAGUGAGAUUGAGGUUAAAGGUGGGCGUCAGUGGAGUUGCGUUUGUAGCUUACUGAAUUGAUCUUCUCGAGCCUCCACUCAUCUCAGAGGCGGGCGAUGUAAGAGUCGGCCUUAGCGUUCACAUCAGGGUUGGGACAAGAAAUCGAUGGCCCCAUCGAAUCUCCAUCGUCGGAUUUAACUGACAUGGUGUCUACGUCCUCUAGGUCCGACGAGCUGCGGAUUCUCACAAAGUCCCCUCAGGCUACGAAUCUCACUUCCGAUAUUCUGAAUGGCGGCGGCAGCGGCAAAAGUGGAAUUAACAGCGACGCUAGGGCGAUUAUCACGUUAUUCUCGUUGCAGAGAAGAGAGAGAAAAGGAAAUGAGGAGAAAGAGGAUGGGCUAGGUUUUGAAUGAAAUCGGUAUUUUUUUUAUCAAUUCAAAUCGAGCCGGGUCUGUAAACGGGUCGGGCGACCCGACCGCAUACUAUGCAGAUGACCGCAUGGAAUAAUUUGCGAAUAUAAAUAGCCCGGGAUUAGUC
rnacentral:lncRNA from 1 species